rnacentral:rRNA from 1 species
AUACGUAGGGUGCAAGCGUUAAUCGGAAUUACUGGGCGUAAAGCGUGCGCAGGCGGUUUUGUAAGACAGAGGUGAAAUCCCCGGGCUCAACCUGGGAACUGCCUUUGUGGCUGCAAGGCCUGAGUACGGCAGAGGGGGAUGGAAGUCCGCGUGUUGCAGUGGAAUGCGUAGAUAUGCGGAGGAACACCGAUGGCGAAGGCAAUCCCCUGGGCCUGUACUGACGCUCAUGCACGAAAGCGUGGGGAGCAAACAGGAUUAGAUACCCUGGUAGUCCACGCCCUAAACGAUGUCAACUGGUUGUUGGGUCUUCAUUGACUCAGUAACGAAGCUAACGCGUGAAGUUGACCGCCUGGGGAGUACGGCCGCAAGGUUGAAACUCAAAUGAAUUGACGGGG